rnacentral:rRNA from 1 species
CGGCGAACGGGUGAGUAACACGUGAGUAACCUGCCCCAAACUUUGGGAUAACCCUCGGAAACGGGGGCUAAUACCGAAUAUUACUUCUGGUCGCAUGGCUGGUGGUGGUAAGUUUUUCGGUUUGGGAUGGACUCGCGGCCUAUCAGCUUGUUGGUGAGGUAACGGCCCACCAAGGCGACGACGGGUAGCUGGCGUGAGAGCGUGGCCAGCCACACUGGGACUGAGACACGGCCCAG